CACUCCUACGGGAGGCAGCAGUGGGGAAUAUUGCACAAUGGGCGCAAGCCUGAUGCAGCCAUGCCGCGUGUAUGAAGAAGGCCUUCGGGUUGUAAAGUACUUUCAGCGGGGAGGAAGGCAAUACGGUUAAUAACCGUGUUGAUUGACGUUACCCGCAGAAGAAGCACCGGCUAACUCCGUGCCAGCAGCCGCGGUAAUACGGAGGGUGCAAGCGUUAAUCGGAAUUACUGGGCGUAAAGCGCACGCAGGCGGUCUGUCAAGUCGGAUGUGAAAUCCCCGGGCUCAACCUGGGAACUGCAUUCGAAACUGGCAGGCUUGAGUCUUGUAGAGGGGGGUAGAAUUCCAGGUGUAGCGGUGAAAUGCGUAGAGAUCUGGAGGAAUACCGGUGGCGAAGGCGGCCCCCUGGACAAAGACUGACGCUCAGGUGCGAAAGCGUGGGGAGCAAACAGGAUUAGAAACCCCGGUAGUCCCAUG
rnacentral:rRNA from 1 species